rnacentral:rRNA from 1 species
GACGUACUUGUACUGAUUGAGAUUUUAACACGAAGUGAGUGGCGAACGGGUGAGUAACACGUGGGUAACCUGCCCAGAAGUAGGGGAUAACACCUGGAAACAGAUGCUAAUACCGUAUAACAGAGAAAACCGCAGGGUUUUCUUUUAAAAGAUGGCUCUGCUAUCACUUCUGGAUGGACCCGCGGCGUAUUAGCUAGUUGGUGAGGUAAAGGCUCACCAAGGCAGUGAUACGUAGCCGACCUGAGAGGGUAAUCGGCCACAUUGGGACUGAGACACGGCCCAGACUCCUACGGGAGGCAGCAGUAGGGAAUCUUCCACAAUGGACGCAAGUCUGAUGGAGCAACGCCGCGUGAGUGAAGAAGGGUUUCGGCUCGUAAAGCUCUGUUGUUAAAGAAGAACGUGGGUAAGAGUAACUGUUUACCCAGUGACGGUAUUUAACCAGAAAGCCACGGCUAACUACGUGCCAGCAGCCGCGGUAAUACGUAGGUGGCAAGCGUUAUCCGGAUUUAUUGGGCGUAAAGCGAGCGCAGGCGGUCUUUUAAGUCUAAUGUGAAAGCCUUCGGCUCAACCGAAGAAGUGCAUUGGAAACUGGGAGACUUGAGUGCAGAAGAGGACAGUGGAACUCCAUGUGUAGCGGUGAAAUGCGUAGAUAUAUGGAAGAACACCAGUGGCGAAGGCGGCUGUCUGGUCUGCAACUGACGCUGAGGCUCGAAAGCAUGGGUAGCGAACAGGAUUAGAUACCCUGGUAGUCCAUGCCGUAAACGAUGAUUACUAAGUGUUGGAGGGUUUCCGCCCUUCAGUGCUGCAGCUAACGCA